rnacentral:lncRNA from 10 species
GGAACGGAUUUCUCCUCACAGCCCUCAGAAGAAACCAACCCUGUCACCAUUUUGAUCUUGGACUUUAGCCUCUGGAACUGUGAGACAAUACAUUUCUGUUUGUUUCAGCCACCUAGUUCAUAGUACUUUGAAGUGACCUUUACACCACUCUCACUUAGAGAUGAGGUCUGUGUCCCCUCCUCUUGAAAUUGAGUGGCUUUUGUGACUGUGUACACAGGUAGAGUAAACUGCAGAGCUGCCUGUCUGUGACUUCCAAGGCUAGGUCAUAAAAGGAGAUAAAGCUUCUUCCUGGCUGGUUGGGCUGCUUGCUCUUGAAGCCUUCAGUCUCUAUGCACGCAGCAUGCCUUCCCAGCCUCCUGUGGUUGUAGAGUGUAUAGAAGGCAGUUGGAUCACUAUGGACAGCGGGUAAGAGCUGAGGAAGCAGCCUCCGCCAGGUGGUAACAUGGAGGACCCUGAAGCAGGCCAAUUAAAUCAAGCAUAUUCCUCAGUAUCAUGGAGAGACUGGAGGUUAGAGACACCAAAACCAUCCCUGGCUUAAUGACUUUGGGAUCCCUGGGCCCCUCCAUGCAGCAGAACGGCAAUUAACCAAGUCCUCUCUCUUUCAGCCACACCCUGAAUUGUACUCUGUUACCUUAGAAGUAGUGCAUUUGAUGGUUGUUUUGAAAAAAUAAAUGAAUGAAGGAGGACCAGUUCAUAUUACCCUUCAAAAAGGCAUAGACCAUUGGCCAUUCUCUGACCAUCUCAAGCCAGAGGUGACUUGAUCUGUCACCCAGCUGUGGCCCAUGAGCAUUAUCUAAGGAGGAACAUUUUUGCUUACGUUUCCAGUGCUCUACAUAAGCCCUAGGCCCUGGGAGGCACUGAAAUGCUCAAUGGGAGCUCCAUGUGUGCAGGCUUAUGGACUGGUAUAUGCAUAGGAGCGAAAUUACUGAAUAACUUACGUGAAACAUUUUGACGAACUGUCAUAUUGUUACCCAAAGUGAUUGCACUGUUUUACAAAUCAUAUUGGCAAGAAAUACUACUUUCAUGGCUCUGGCUAUGAACAUCAGCAUAUAGAGAAUGGAUCACUACCAAAGAAGGCACCCGAAUGUGUCUGUCUCAUCCUGGGGAAACUCAUUCAUCUGUAUAUGUACUCAGCAAGUGUUUCCUGGCACCUGCUCUGGGUCACAGUGCUGGGCACUGGAAGCUGAGAGAUGUGGAAGAAGGCUGGACAUUCAAGAUGAGAAGCCCGAGGCUGGUAAACUAGAGUCCAAGGGCAGAAAGCUGGGACAAUGGCUGGAGGAAGAAAUGAGAGGAUCUCUAUACCCAGGCCUUGGCUUCUAUGUCCCUUCUCGAAGUGGUUGAAGUGCAGAUUUCUGAUUCUGUACCCAGCCUCCAGGGACACAGUACACAGUAUGCUGGGAAUGGCGGUGGGUGUUUGAGGUACAUUACUUCCAGACAAAACAUGGCUGCAGAGGGAUACCAAAAGCAUCUUCUGGUGGCUGAAGCCCUGUCUGCACAAGUGUCUGUGUUCUUCAAUGGUUCAGGCAAGCUCAGACAGACCCUCUGCUUCUCUUAACCUGAGACACUAGUUUCCCCAAGAACUUUGAGCUGAAGGUUCCUUGCUGUGUCCCCUACCUGGCUGUGAGGACUUUGAGUAUAAUUAUCCUAUCUUAUUUGUUGCUGUGCUCCCAGUGUCUUGGAUGGAGCCUGACAUCUAGUCAGUGUUAGUAAAUGUUGAUGUGUAUUGAAUUUUGCAAGGAUCUGCAGCCCUGAGAAGAGGGGAUACUUCUUGGAAACCUCUGUGGGCUAAAUUGAGGGUUAAGGACUGGGACUGGAAGGCAGAGAUUCCAGAGUGAUAACCACAGUAGUUACUAUUUCAUGAGAGCCUCCAUGUGCCAGCCUCUAAGCUAGGCCCAUACCAUGCAUUACCUCUUGUCCCCACUUUACAGAAACUAAGGCUUAGACAAGUUAAGCAACUUGCUAAAGAUCAAACAACUCAAUAUGUGUUGGAGUCAAAUGAACGCAUUUCUUUUCCAUUUCCCUCAUUUACUCCACUAAUGACAGUACUUAAAUUGUAGACUAGGAAUUAAAAUAGCAGAAGCCUGACUUGAGAGGGCAGAGCCCCUGCGUUUGAGUGCCUGAAAGUCAGUCAUGGGUAGAAAGAACAGUCUUGUAGCAGAGCUCUGGGCAAGGGAGGAGCCGUGAGCAGGUGGACAUGAACUCACUGUGACAACUCUCCAACAGUGAAAGCAGGUUCCCAUGGAAUCCAGGGAAAUUACUGAAUAACUUUCAACACAAAAAUGUGUGCUAGUGAGCUGUAGAGCCUUUAUAUCCCCCCAAAACAUAUUAUGGGGGUGGGGGGGGGGCGCGGAAUUCUGAAUUUUUGUUGUUGUUGUUGUUGUUGAGACAGAGUUUUGCUGUUGUUGCCCAGGCUGGAGUGCAAUGGCACAAUCUUGGCUCUCCACAACCUCCGCCUCCUGGAUUCAAGCGAUUCUCCUGCCCCAGCCUCCAGAGUAGGGGCUGGGAUUGUAGACAUGCGCCACCACGCCUGGCUAAUUUUGUAUUUUUAGUAGAGAUAGGGUUUCUGCAUGUUGAUCAGGCUGGUCUCGAACUCCUGACCUCAGGUGAUCCACCCGCCUUGGCCUCCCAAAGUGCUGGGAUUACAGGUGUGUGCCACGGCGCCCGGCCUAAGUAAAUAGUUUGGAAAGCUGCAUCCAAUAGUCUCUUUUGAAGAUUCACAAUGCACCCUAGCUUGUUAACUAUUCCAAGAAGUCCCCGGAAAAGAAUGCUUGUUUGACUUUCUUGAAUCCAGUGUUGCCCAUGUUUAUUUGACUAGUGAGCAGGUUUUUUUGUUUGUUUGUUUGUUUUUUAAGUGACACUUUUUAACACUCUGAGGCAGUAAUAUUGUACUGAACACAUGGGGAAUCUUCUGUGGAAGUUUGGCCUGGAAUACAUCCUCUGUGUUCCUUCUCGCCCCGUGGCUGAGUGAGUGUGCUGUAAAAGCUUAGUGACAGAAAAGCCCCACUUAGCCUAUUUGUGAUGAUUUCCUAAACCGGGCAAAUAACUCAUCUGAAUGGCUGAGGUGAUAAACUCACAGGAGGAGAAGAUGCUGGAGGAAGUGUCAUGUGUCCUGCAUGUAGGUACCACUUCACCUCCCAGCAAGGCGAUGCUGAUAGCAACGUUUUCCUUGGGUGUUGAAUUUUCCAUCCUGCAAUUACGUCUUAAGCCAUAGAUAAAAUUCACAUCCACGUUUCACUCAAGAUAAACCUAACAUCAUAAUAAUACAGAAGAUUAAUUCAUUGGGGAAAAAUAGAAGAAAAUUGGUCUUGGCUUAAAGAGAAGUCAACAUUUAGAAUGUGUAGAAGGGGAUUUCUUCUGGAUCACACUCUGUCCUCAACAGUGGCAUGUGAAAAUGUAUGUGGUUCGCUUUAGUGCAUGCAUGUUUGUGCCUGUCCCACUGACACAUCCACAGUGUGACCCAUAGAGGUCCACUUCUAAGACCCCUAACUCUGAGUCCAACCCACCCUUUUGGGCUCACUGCAGUCAUUUCUCUCUGAAGUCUUCCUUGACAACCUAGGCAUCAUCAGUUUUUCUCUUCUCUGAUCAUCUUAGCAAGUGUAUCCAUAAGCUAUAAUCACAAUCAUGCUGCAUAACAAAACCAAAAACUCAAUGGCCAAUAACAAUGAACAUUUAUUUUUUGUUUUCAUGUCUAGAGGCCAGGUGGGGGGUGGCUGAUCUAAGCUGGGUUUUGCUCUAGGUUAGAUUUAGUCUAGGUUGGCCUCACAUGUCUCUCAUUCUUCAGGUGUCAGGAGGCCACCAUGGGCCUGAUCUUCAGGACAGAUGCCUCUUAAGACUUGGGCUUUGACUCAUACACUGUUACUGCCACCCAUGUCCUGUUGGCCAAAGUCAAUUUCAUUACCAAGCCCAAGAUCUGUGGAGUGGAGAAAUGCAUUUUGAAGGGGAGGGAGUCAAUCUGUAAUGAGCACCAUGAUGUACCAUAGAGCAUUUGUAGUCAUGAGCCUGAUUUAGACACUUGGUGGGGUAUCUCUGUGCUCUUAGGAAUUGUGUCUCUGUGUCUGUCAGAGGUGAUAACAUUGGAGCUGAGCCUUAAAAAAUAAAAGUUUCCUCAAACACCUCUGUGACUUCUGUGAUGCCUUCUGUUCACCACCCACAGUAGCACUGAAGGAAGAAAAGUAGUAACAUGUGAAGUGCAUAGGCAGCCCAGGGAGUCAUGCAUCCUAGUUCUGCAAGGAGGGUGCCCCUAGCCAGCCCUUGAUUGCCUCCCAGUUUUGGAGUUUGUAAGAGUCACAAAUAAUCACACUUCCCUCUCCUCAAAGUUCUGAACCAACUAAAAAUUAUACAUGGGAAUUUGAUGGGGAUGAAAAUAUGGACUUUAUAAGUAAAAAUGAAUUUGAGAACAGCUUGGACCUGAAGCUGAAGGGGUUUCCUUGAUACUUUUCAUCUGGAUCCUGUAGUCCACCUGAGGGUAGUUGUGGGUCUUCAUGGUGGACUUUUAACCAGAUGCAUGAAAAAUUGUGGCCAGGAGAGAGGCCACACCUGAGAGGGAUGUUUACACAUGAGAAACAUAGACCAGUGGGUGUCAGCCUCUUGCCACCUCAACAAUUAUGCCAAUUUCUCCUACACACAAAUGAAGGAGAGAAGAGCUAAGUGUGAAAGGAAAGAUGGAACUCUGUCCUCCCCAUCUAAUCCGGGAUGGAAGCUGUCUGUUGCAGGGACCAGCAUGAGGUGGGGAGGAAGGAUGACCCCGGUGAUCUAGAAAAUGGGACUGAUGCUAUUUAGACGGCUGCCAUCACUGAGUCAGCGGGUGUGGGCUUCUUUAUGCACUUGCUAGAAAUGGGCCAUCAGGCCACUCCUAGUGUGCCCUGGAGCAACUUGUUCUUGUCUGCAAGUCCAGAUGCAGAACACCUAACUCCACUCCACUUCAUCCCCAAAUCCCAACCCGUCUUCACUCAUUUCCGACUGAACCAAGCCACCUGAGUGUCGUGAGUUCACCUGUGUGUUCUUGCCAUCUCCUGGGAUGGAGUCCCCACAGGUCAGAACACUUGAACUCAUUGUGUAGAACCAGAUUCUCUCCCACACUUUUCUCUCUCCUCUCAGAGGCCAAUUUGUUCUGCAGUCAAUUCUGCAGAAGUUAGAAAUAAAGCAUGGUGACCAAUCAGAGAUGAGAGAGGGUGUGGUUGGGCUGAGAGUCACUUUUCAGAGCUUAUGAAAAGCUGCAAACCCGGUGGAUGGCUUACACUCUUUCCUCAAGGGCAACACACUGAGUGAGAGGGUGCUGGAGGGGGAUGCUGGGGAAAGCGAGCUUGUAUUCAAGGAGGCCUGUGGUGUCAUUAUUUACAGUGUCACACCUGAUCCUCCCAACGACCCCAUCUCUAGGCUCUGGAAGUUAGUGGUUAAGAGCACAUCUCUCAGGCUUGUUCACAUACAGUUGUGUGACCUUGGGCAAGUCUCUGUGCCUCAGUUUACUCAUCUGUAGAAUGUUGGUAGAGGAGGAUAUUAAGAGUAACUACCACAUAGUGGUGCUGGGAGGAUAAAAUGAUUUAAUAGAUGUGAUGGGCAGCUGUGGGGAUGGCUCCCAGUGAUCCCUGUCUCCAGGUAUCCAUGCCCUUGCUUGUAAGGAAGAGAAUAUGGCAAAGUUGAUAGGCUGUCUCUUCCAAGAUCAGGUUACAAGAGACUGUGAACUCCCUCUUGCUUACUUUCUCUUACUCUCUUUCUUACUCCAGUGGAAACCAACAGCGUGUUACGAGCUGCCCAGUGGAGAAACCCACACUACAAGAAACUGUGGAUGGCCUCCUCUGGUCAAUAGCCAGCUAGGAAUAAGGCCUUCAUCCAAUAGCCCAUGAGGAACUGAAUCCUGCCAAAAACCACACACGUGAGCUUAGAAGCAGAUCUUUCCCCAGUAGAGCCUUGAAAUGACUGCUGCCCCCACCUGACACCUUAACUGUGGUCUGUGUGAGACUCUGAAACAGGGGGCCCAGCUAAGCCAAGCCCAUAUUCCUGACCCACAGACGCUUUGAGAUAAUAUUGAAUAAAUUCUUGUGGUGUUAAGCCACUGAGUUUUAGGGUAAUUUGUUAGACAGCGAUAGAUAACGAAGACAAUACAUUAACAAUUCUUAAGAUACCCAGUGGAUAGUAAACCUUCAAUAGAUAUUGACUGUCUUUAUUAUUAAUAUCUCAGUUUCACAGAUGAGACAAAUGAGGCUCAGAGUGACUUCCCAGAGUUCGACAGUUAAUAUGCAGUAGAGUAGGGGCUCUGCCUUUGUUCUAUCUGACUUCAAAGUCAGUGCUCUCAAAGCAUCACUAUUUGGAAGACUCAGCUCCUUGAGGUGCCUAAGCAGGAUUUGUAGAAAAACAGAGGGCAGAUUUCCAUGGGCUGCCUUAGAUAGGUGAAUGACCCCUUAAGGCUGUAGAGGGCCAGGCCUAGGGCUGGGGAGAGCCAUGGCCAGCUCUUCAGGGAGUCUACAUGGGUAGGAGGACUAGCUCCUGCACCCAAACUUCACUAGGGGCUAGGUCUUCCAGCACAUGGGAGAACCAACGCAUGGCUGAGUCUGCUCCUAGAGUUUGUAAGAUGCUGUGUACUGAGAAAUGGAGCUCUGGUCUCUCCUCGCCCUCUGCUAUAGUUUCAAUGUGUUCCCCAAAAAGCAUGUGUUGGAAACUUAAUCCCCAAUGCAACAGUGUUGGGAAGUAGGGCCUAAUGGGAGGUGUUUAGGGCAUGAGGUCUCUGUCCUCAUGAAUGGAUUAAUGCCGAUUAUAAAAGGUCUUGAGCAUGUGAGUUCAUUCUCUUGCUCUCUCACAAUGCUGUCUUGCCCUUCCACCGUGAGCCAUGGGAUGAUGUAGGAAUCAUCCCAUGAUUGGUGGCACCUUCAUAUUAGACUAUGUUGGACUUCGCAGCCUCCAGAACUGUGAUAAACAAAUACCUUAUAAGUUACGACACCUCUGAUAUUGUGUUAUAGCAACACAAAACAGACUGAGACUCUUUCUCUCAUUCCCUCUGGGAGCUCAUGAACUAGGAGCCUGAGAUAAGCCCCAUUCAGAGGAGUCUCAUCUGAGCAAAGGCCGUUUUCGUUGCUAUCCUAUCAUGCUAUAGACAGCAAUGAUGAAUCAACUUAGCUGAUCGGAGGGCAGUCAGCACCAUCAGAAACAACAUGUCCUCUUAGCACAGUAACUGCUGGGAACAUCUACAAGAUUCCUCAGGGUGUAUGGGCAACAGACACAGGGAGCGUGCAGAGAGGCAGGUGGCACAGCCCCUGAUAUCUGCGGUGGUGAGACGCACAAUGGGAGCAGAUUCAAGCUUCACCACACAGACACUCAAAGAAUCAACGGAUACACGGAGACACCCAGGCACCUGCAUUAAUACCCAUAUACUCCCAGACACAUGGCCACACUCAUAGACACACCUACAGAAUGACACACUCAGACAUUCAGUGUGAAAGACACAAAUGCUCAGAUAAAUGCCCAGGUGGUAGGGAGGAACAUUAAAAUCCCACAACUCAUGUUUCCAGGGAGGGGAAGUCUUUUCCAUUGCACCAUGCAGGAGGGAAAAGUAUUGAAGGAACACUUCUUGCCCUUGUCCAUCCCCUCACCCAUUUCUCCCCAGAGGAGAGUUGGUGAGUUUGGGGGAGGAACAGAGCAUGCUCAGUCUAGUCUCCCCUAGGGCUUCUCUGUCUUUUACCCUGCCUGCCUGCAGAGGGGAAACAACAUUCUCAUCAGUCCUCUGGUACUGGGUGGCCUCUCAGGGUCGGCUUGGCCCCUCUGGGGAGUUGCCUGGUGUGACCAGUGCCGAUGGACACGUCUAUCUAAUUCAUUGGGGAAGAAUUUGCAGACCCUUUGGCUACAUAUCCAAAGCCACAUUCUUUACUUGACUGUACCCAGUAAUAGAGCUGACAUUCUGAUCUUCACCUCUAUCUCUGAGGCCUUAUUUCUCAGUUGGUGUCAAACUUGCGAUUCCCCGGUUCCAACACCAAAUAUUCCCACUUAGAGGAAAAACAGAAACAUGGACAAAUGUUCAAAGACACAGCAGAGAAACAUAGAUGAGAUGGUACAUUUGCUCUCCUGAGUGGAGGGAGGAUGGUUAGAAGAGCAGUUCAUGAGUCUGGCUGGGUGUUAGAAUCACCUGGGAAGAAUUACAAAUAGGUACUCAUGUCUGGGUCCUACUCCAGACAAACUGAUUCAGAAUCUACUGGGUCAGGGCCUGGGCAGUGGUCAAUUUUAAAGCUCCCCAGGUGAUUCUAACAGGCAGCUUCCCCACUCCCCAGCACUCCAUGAGGAGCAAAAGAGUGUUGGUGACUGGGGGCCUAACCCAUCGGUCACAGACCUCCCUCAGACGUCACUUGCUUCCAGCUAUAGCUCCAAAUUUCUCUCCUAUGGACAUUCUGGGGAUUCUGGUAGCAGCUGAGGGCUGUGCACUAAGCAGGCAAUUGCCUUUGGCUGCUGCUCUUCUGACUCUUCUAACUCUUCUGGUGGACCAUGGGGGCUGUCUCACCACUCUUCAAGCAGAAGUCCCUCACUCCUGCCUUGGAUCCCCAACACGUACGGAUGCUUAGGUCGACAUGGUAUUUUUCCUCUUGCUUUCAGUCUAGCUUCCUGUUGCAUCUCUGCUUGGUUGGCCCCUGGCAGAGCAGGUGCACAGGACACCGAGUGGAGAACUGGCCCCAGUGACAGUGGCUCGGCACAUGCUCUUCAUCCCAUAGCCAAAGGCACUUUCUUUGUGAUGCAUGGAGGCCAAACUCUUCUGCCAGCAACAGAGAAGCAAGGCCAGGCUGAUGGCUGCAAAAUGAGAGCGUGGUGUAAAGAUGGGAGCAGAGGUGGCGUGUACCCAUCCAGUGGCCUUGAUGCUUCUGUGAAUAUGGAG